GUGACAUACCUAUAACUGUUGCUUCGGCGGGUAGGGUCUCCGUGACCCUCCCGGCCUCCCGCCCCCGGGCGGGUCGGCGCCCGCCGGAGGAUAACCAAACUCUGAUUUAACGACGUUUCUUCUGAGUGGUACAAGCAAAUAAUCAAAACUUUUAACAACGGAUCUCUUGGUUCUGGCAUCGAUGAAGAACGCAGCGAAAUGCGAUAAGUAAUGUGAAUUGCAGAAUUCAGUGAAUCAUCGAAUCUUUGAACGCACAUUGCGCCCGCCAGCAUUCUGGCGGGCAUGCCUGUUCGAGCGUCAUUUCAACCCUCAAGCUCUGCUUGGUGUUGGGGCCCUACAGCUGAUGUAGGCCCUCAAAGGUAGUGGCGGACCCUCCCGGAGCCUCCUUUGCGUAGUAACUUUACGUCUCGCACUGGGAUCCGGAGGGACUCUUGCCGUAAAACCCCCAAUUUUCCAAAGGUUGACCUCGGAUCAGGUAGGAAUACCCGCUGAACUUAAGCAUAUCAA
rnacentral:rRNA from 1 species